UACGAAGGGUGCUAGCGUUGUUCGGAAUCACUGGGCGUAAAGCGCGCGUAGGCGGCUUUUCAAGUCAGGGGUGAAAUCCCACAGCUUAACUGUGGAACUGCCUUUGAAACUGUAAAGCUAGAGUGUCGGAGGGGAUAGCGGAAUUGCUAAUGUAGAGGUGAAAUUCCGUAGAUAUUAGCAGGAACACCGGUGGCGAAGGCGGCUAUCUGGACGACAACUGACGCUGAGG
rnacentral:rRNA from 1 species